rnacentral:rRNA from 1 species
GACGAACGCUGGCGGCGUGCCUAACACAUGCAAGUCGAACGCUGAAGCACCAGCUUUCCGGUGUGGAUGAUUGGCGCACGGGUGAGUAAUACGUGAGUAUCCCGCCCUUAACUCUGGGAUAAGCCCUGGAAACUGGGUCUCUUAUUGGAUGCUACAUGUCACCCCACGUUGGUCUGUGGUAAGGGUUUCCUGGUCUUGGAUGGGCUCACGGCCUAUCAGCUCGUUGGUGAGUUAAUGGCUCACCAAGGCGACGACGCGUCGCCGGCCUGGGAGGGUGAGCGGCGACACUGGGACUGAGGCACGGCACAGACUCCGACGGGAGGCAGCAGUGGGGAAUAUUGCACGAUGGGCGAAGGCCUGAUGCAGCGACGCCGCGGGAGGGAUGACGGCCUUCGGGUGGUAAACCUCUUGCGGAAGGGAAGAAGCAACAAGUGACGGUACCUGCAGAGGAAGCGCCGGCUAACUACGUG